GAUGAACGCUGGCGGCGUGCCUAAUACAUGCAAGUCGAGCGAACGGACGAGAAGCUUGCUUCUCUGAUGUUAGCGGCGGACGGGUGAGUAACACGUGGAUAACCUACCUAUAAGACUGGGAUAACUUCGGGAAACCGGAGCUAAUACCGGAUAAUAUUUUGAACCGCAUGGUUCAAAAGUGAAAGACGGUCUUGCUGUCACUUAUAGAUGGAUCUGCGCUGCAUUAGCUAGUUGGUAAAGUAACGGCUUACCAAGGCAACGAUGCAUAGCCGACCUGAGAGGGUGAUCGGCCACACUGGAACUGAGACACGGUCCAGACUCCUACGGGAGGCAGCAGUAGGGAAUCUUCCGCAAUGGGCGAAAGCCUGACGGAGCAACGCCGCGUGAGUGAUGAAGGUCUUCGGAUCGUAAAACUCUGUUAUUAGGGAAGAACAUAUGUGUAAGUAACUGUGCACAUCUUGACGGUACCUAAUCAGAAAGCCACGGCUAACUACGUG
rnacentral:rRNA from 1 species